rnacentral:rRNA from 1 species
GACGAACGCUGGCGGCGUGCUUAACACAUGCAAGUCGAACGGUAAGGCCCUUCGGGGUACACGGGUGGCGAACGGGUGAGUAACACGUGGGUGAUCUGCCCUGCACUUCGGGAUAAGACUGGGAAACUGGGUCUAAUACCGGAUAGGACUCCGGACUGCAUGGUCUGGGGUGGAAAGCUUUUGCGGUGUGGGAUGGGCCCGCGGCCUAUCAGCUUGUUGGUGGGGUGAUGGCCUACCAAGGCGACGACGGGUAGCCGGCCUGAGAGGGUGACCGGCCACACUGGGACUGAGAUACGGCCCAGACUCCUACGGGAGGCAGCAGUGGGGAAUAUUGCACAAUGGGCGCAAGCCUGAUGCAGCGACGCCGCGUGAGGGAUGACGGCCUUCGGGUUGUAAACCUCUUUCAGCAUCGACGAAGCGAAAGUGACGGUAGGUGCAGAAGAAGGACCGGCCAACUACGUGCCAGCCGCCGCCGUAAGAC